CAACAUACCAAAAAUACAAUACAGCUUGAGAAUAAUAUUAUGAAAAUAGUUUAUCAUAAGAAUUUUUCAACAAUGCUUGAGAAACACUUUUUUGCACAAACUUUUCUCAAAUCUGUCCUUUGUUGACAAAUUUGUUUUGAUUUUUUUUUGUGAAAAUUGUCAACAAAAAAUUAUUUUCUUUGGUUAAAAUCAAAAUCACGCGAAUUUAGGACCCAUUUCCGGACGAAACUCUAAGAAUAGAGGCGUCAAAAAGUUGCAAGAAUUCAAGAGAAGUGAAGAAUUAGUGGAGGAGAUGCGGAAGCUCAAAUAAGGGGAAAGAAAUCAUCUAGGUAUCAAUGCAACAGGAGGCAGCGACAGCUGGGAUGGCGAUCAAUGAAUGAAAUGUGUAAAAUAAUUAAAAAAUAAAUAUUUUAUACCAUUGAAAAAAUAA